rnacentral:tRNA from 3 species
GCCGCCGUAGCUCAGCCUGGCCAGAGCGCCGGACUCAUACGGAUGCUGGGUCAUCCGGUCGUCCGGGGUUCAAAUCCCCGCGGCGGCACCA